rnacentral:rRNA from 1 species
GAGCAGUUUUGGGCGACAAGGACUGGGACAAAGCCUGACUGACGAAAGCCGCGUGAGGACAGAAGGUCUUUCGGGCUGUAAACUGUCUUCUGGUGGGAUGAAAUAAGUGACAGAACCAGAAGGUAAGAAUAAGCACCGGCUAACUACGUG